AAAUUGAAGAGUUUGAUCAUGGCUCAGAUUGAACGCUGGCGGCAGGCCUAACACAUGCAAGUCGAACGGUAACAGGAAACAGCUUGCUGUUUCGCUGACGAGUGGCGGACGGGUGAGUAAUGUCUGGGAAACUGCCUGAUGGAGGGGGAUAACUACUGGAAACGGUAGCUAAUACCGCAUAACGUCGCAAGACCAAAGAGGGGGACCUUCGGGCCUCUUGCCAUCGGAUGUGCCAGAUGGGAUUAGCUAGUAGGUGGGGUAACGGCUCACCUAGGCGACGAUCCCUAGCUGGUCUGAGAGGAUGACCAGCCACACUGGAACUGAGACACGGUCCAGACUCCUACGGGAGGCAGCAGUGGGGAAUAUUGCACAAUGGGCGCAAGCCUGAUGCAGCCAUGCCGCGUGUAUGAAGAAGGCCUUCGGGUUGUAAAGUACUUUCAGCGGGGAGGAAGGGAGUAAAGUUAAUACCUUUGCUCAUUGACGUUACCCGCAGAAGAAGCACCGGCUAACUCCGUGCCAGCAGCCGCGGUAAUACGGAGGGUGCAAGCGUUAAUCGGAAUUACUGGGCGUAAAGCGCACGCAGGCGGUUUGUUAAGUCAGAUGUGAAAUCCCCGGGCUCAACCUGGGAACUGCAUCUGAUACUGGCAAGCUUGAGUCUCGUAGAGGGGGGUAGAAUUCCAGGUGUAGCGGUGAAAUGCGUAGAGAUCUGGAGGAAUACCGGUGGCGAAGGCGGCCCCCUGGACGAAGACUGACGCUCAGGUGCGAAAGCGUGGGGAGCAAACAGGAUUAGAUACCCUGGUAGUCCACGCCGUAAACGAUGUCGACUUGGAGGUUGUGCCCUUGAGGCGUGGCUUCCGGAGCUAACGCGUUAAGUCGACCGCCUGGGGAGUACGGCCGCAAGGUUAAAACUCAAAUGAAUUGACGGGGGCCCGCACAAGCGGUGGAGCAUGUGGUUUAAUUCGAUGCAACGCGAAGAACCUUACCUGGUCUUGACAUCCACGGAAGUUUUCAGAGAUGAGAAUGUGCCUUCGGGAACCGUGAGACAGGUGCUGCAUGGCUGUCGUCAGCUCGUGUUGUGAAAUGUUGGGUUAAGUCCCGCAACGAGCGCAACCCUUAUCCUUUGUUGCCAGCGGUCCGGCCGGGAACUCAAAGGAGACUGCCAGUGAUAAACUGGAGGAAGGUGGGGAUGACGUCAAGUCAUCAUGGCCCUUACGACCAGGGCUACACACGUGCUACAAUGGCGCAUACAAAGAGAAGCGACCUCGCGAGAGCAAGCGGACCUCAUAAAGUGCGUCGUAGUCCGGAUUGGAGUCUGCAACUCGACUCCAUGAAGUCGGAAUCGCUAGUAAUCGUGGAUCAGAAUGCCACGGUGAAUACGUUCCCGGGCCUUGUACACACCGCCCGUCACACCAUGGGAGUGGGUUGCAAAAGAAGUAGGUAGCUUAACCUUCGGGAGGGCGCUUACCACUUUGUGAUUCAUGACUGGGGUGAAGUCGUAACAAGGUAACCGUAGGGGAACCUGCGGUUGGAUCACCUCCUUACCUUAAAGAAGC
rnacentral:rRNA from 1 species